AAUGAACGCUGGCGGCAUGCCUAACACAUGCAAGUCGAACGAGACCACCGGGACAAGUGGCGCAUGGGUGCGUCACGCGUGGGAACCUUCCCUUAGGCUUGGAAUAACUCUCCGACAGGGGUGCUAACAUCGGAUAAUGUCUUCGGACCAAAGAUAGAUCGCGCUUGGAUGGGCCCGCGUUGGAUUAGCUAGUUGCGAGGGUAAGAGCCUACCAAGGAGUCGAUCCAUAGCUGGUUAGAGAGAAUGAUCAGCCACACUGAGGCUGAGACCCGGCCCAGACUCCUACGGGAGGGAGGAGUGGGGGAUAUAGGACAAUGGGCGGAAGGCUGAAGCAGUUCGGCCGGGUAAGUGAUGAUGUCCGGAGAGUAAAAAAGCUCUUUUAUCCGGGAUUAUAAUGACGGUACCGAAAGAAUAAGCUCCGGCUAACUCCGUG
rnacentral:rRNA from 1 species